rnacentral:rRNA from 1 species
GAUGAACGUUGGCGGUGUGUCUAAUACAUGCAAGCCGAGCGAAAUCAGGGGCAACUCUGGUUUAGCGGCAAACGGGUGCGUAAUACGUUGGAACCUGCCUCAAACUCAGGGAUAACUCCGCGAAAGCGGAGCUAAUACCGGAUGGUCCUGCAAAGGUAAAGACGCAAGUCGGUUUGAGAGGGUCCUGCGGCCUAUCAGCUAGGUGGUGGGGUAAAGGCUUACCAAGGCGAUGAUCGGUAGCUGGUCUGAGAGGAUGAUCAGCCACACUGGGACUGAGACACGGCCCAGACUCCUACGGGAGGCAGCAGUGGGGAAUUUUGGACAAUGGGGGCAACCCUGAUCCAGCCAUUCCGCGUGAGUGAAGAAGGCCUUCGGGUUGUAAAGCUCUUUUGUCCGGAGCGAAACGGGAGCGGUGAAUGUCCGCUUCUACUGACGGUACCGGAAGAAUAAGCACCGGCUAACUACGUGCCAGCCGCCGCGGUAA